AGAGGAAGUAAAAGUCGUAACAAGGUUUCCGUAGGUGAACCUGCGGAAGGAUCAUUAACGAAUCGUAAGCCGGUCGACCGUGCUGGCGGCAACGCACGUGCACGUCGAUCGCAAACCAAUCCACACACCUGUGAACGUAUGGCCUCUCGGGUCCUUUYGGACUCGGGGCAAAACCCAUUUUUACUCUGAUCGUAAAGGAAUGUCUUUGCCUAAAGCGCAAAAGCAAACAACUUUCAACAACGGAUCUCUUGGCUCUCGCAUCGAUGAAGAACGCAGCGAAAUGCGAUAAGUAAUGUGAAUUGCAGAAUUCAGUGAAUCAUCGAAUCUUUGAACGCACCUUGCACCCUUUGGUAUUCCGAAGGGUACGCCCGUUUGAGUGUCAUUGUAAUCUCACCCCCGGAAUCUUUUCUGGGGAGUGGACUUGGACGUUGCMGUGUCACGGCUCGUCUGGAAUGUCUCAGUGCUACCCCGCCCGUCGGCGUAUACAGUGUGAUAAGUAUCUUCACUGGUCAGCUUCCUCGGAGGCGCGCUCUCGGACGGAUCGGUGUGCUGCCAACCGUCUUCGGACAAUACUCUGACGAUUUGACCUCAAAUCGGGUGGGACUACCCGCUGAACUUAAGCAUAUCAAUAAGCGGAGGAAAAGAAACUAACAAGGAUUCCCCUAGUAACGGCGAGUGAAGAGGGAAAAGCUCAAAUUUUGAAUCUGGUGUCUUUGGCGCCCGAGUUGUAAUCUAGAGAAGUGUUUUCCGCACCGGACCGUGCACAAGUUCCCUGGAACGGGGCGUCAUAGAGGGUGAGAAUCCCGUAUAUGGCACGGACUACCGGCGCUCUGCGAUACACUCUCAACGAGUCGAGUUGUUUGGGAAUGCAGCUCAAAAUGGGUGGUAAAUUCCAUCUAAAGCUAAAUAUUGGCGAGAGACCGAUAGCGAACAAGUACCGUGAGGGAAAGAUGAAAAGCACUUUGGAAAGAGAGUGAAACAGUACGUGAAAUUGUUGAAAGGGAAGCGUUUGAAGUCAGUCGCGUCUGGCGGGAUUCAGCCUGGCUUCUGCCUGGUGUACUUCCCGUCCGACGGGUCAGCAUCGGUUUCGACCGAGAGAAAAAGGCUUGGGGAAUGUGGCCGUCCUCGGGCGGUGUUAUAGCCCCUUGUCGUAUGUCUCGGUUGGGACCGAGGACCGCAGCGCGCCUUACGGCCGGGGAUCGCUCCCUCGGUACGCGCUUAGGAUGCUGGCAUAAUGGCUUUAAGCGACCCGUCUUG
rnacentral:rRNA from 1 species